rnacentral:rRNA from 1 species
CUACGGAGGAUGCGAGCGUUAUCCGGAUUUAUUGGGUUUAAAGGGUGCGUAGGCGGACGAUUAAGUCAGCUGUGAAAUGCCCGCGCUUAACGCGGGAAGUGCAGUUGAUACUGGUUGUCUGGAGUGCCGUUGCCGUGGGGGGAAUGUGUAGUGUAGCGGUGAAAUGCAUAGAUAUUACACAGAACGCCGAUUGUGAAGACACCUCACGAAGCGGUAACUGACGCUGAGGCACGAAAGCGUGGGGAUCGAACAGGAUUAGAUACCCUGGUAGUCCACGCAGUAAACGAUGAUGACUAACCGUCGGCGAUAGACCGUCGGUGGCCAAGCGAAAGCGAUAAGUCAUCCACCUGGGGAGUACGACCGCAAGGUUGAAACUCAAAGGAAUUGACGGGG